AUCUGACAAUUCGCCGCCCUCUGCAUCUGCUACGACACGGGGUUGUCUGCUGCCAGAUUCGCCGCCGGAACGCCCACCCCGCCAAUGCCGGUCAACUCGUUGGCCUCCGGCCCUUCCUCGUCGAUUCUUCAUGCCAGAAGGCGCCCGACCACGCGCGGACGGCGGCUACGUUAUCGGAGCGUCCUCCCGGGCGGCACAGCGUGGAUGUAGAUGGUUUCUUCCCCAACUCCGGCCGGCGACCACGGCAUUUGAAUCUUCUCACCCGGCCACACACACACUGCCUGGAAGGAGACGUCAGGGUUGUCAUUGACUGGGAUGGGCAGGAGGCGGCAGGAGAGGCAGUAAGCACCUCGACAAUGACAGCCGUGACCCAGCUUAUUUGGUUAUCCUUCAUAUGUUUCCUAGGUUGAUUUGUGGGAAUUGACAUGCAUUUUAACAUUUUACUGAUUUAUGUAAUAAAUACGUGACCAUAUGCCUAUUUUAGUACUACCAGACACUGAGUUACAGUUUAA